GUUUUUUUGAGAACUAGUGAUUGAAACAGAACAAACUCGAAAAUGUGUUUCAAUAUUUAAUAAAUAUUGAUCACUUUUGUGUAUAUAUUUCUUAACAUAUGGGUAAAAAUAACUAAUAAUGUUUCACAGAAAACAUUAAAACGAAACUUUAUUCACUGGGAUGAAGAAAUGCGCUAUAAAGACGACGAUAAAACGUGAACACAUUCAGGCAAUAAUCGGGCAUUAUUUCAAUGGGCAUUCAAUGCCAAAUAUCAACAGUCAUCUUCGAUUUGGAUUCUUUGGCAUCUUAUAAACAGAUCUUCAAACGUUUGUUCUGAUGAACUUAAAAGUUGUGGAUGUAAGUAUUUUUCUAUCAUUGAAUGAUUGAUUCUAGUAUACAAUAACUCAAAAAUGUUAAUUAAUAAUAUAAUUAGUAAUUAUAGUUUUCAUAUAUGGUAAUAGAUAAAGUCAACAGCAUCUGGCAACUUUUGAAGUAUUCAAAAAGUAUUACAAAACUUGCAAGUUGCUGUUUAACCCAAUUUUGCUUGACAAAUAAAAUCAUCUGGAAUAAAAUCAUCUGAAUAAAAUAGUCCAGCACAGGCAAAAUAAAAAAAUAAAGUAGGAAUAGUACAAUUAACCACCAUUGAGUGCAGGGCC